CCAGGCGGCGGCGGCGGCGCCGGCGACUGAUGCUGCCGCGGGGAGGGAUGGAGAAGGGAGGGGGGAGUGGAUCCGAGCGGAGACAGCCGCGGCGCUGCAGAGCGGCUGGGGCGGCGGCGUGGCUCCCGGUGCUCCCCCCGGCGCCCGCCCCGAGUCUGUGAGGGCCCCGGCCCCGGAGGCCGCCCGGAGUCAUGGGCUGCAUCGGCUCCCGGACUGUGGGGAAUGAGGUGAUUGCAGUGGACUGGAAGGGCCUGAAGGAUGUUGACCAAAUCAACAUGGACAGCACCAGCUCACUGCACGGAAGCAGCCUCCAUCGGCCAUCCACUGAGCAAACUCGAACAGAUUUCUCCUGGGAUGGCAUCAAUCUCUCCAUGGAGGACACCACUUCCAUUCUUCCGAAGCUUAAGCGAAACUCUAACGCCUAUGGCAUUGGAGCCCUGGCCAAGUCAUCAUUCUCAGGGAUCUCACGAAGCAUGAAGGACCAUGUGACAAAGCCCACAGCCAUGGGACAAGGACGUGUGGCCCACAUGAUUGAGUGGCAGGGCUGGGGGAAGGCACCAGCCAUUCAGCCACAACACAGCCAUGAGGCCGUGCGCAGGGAUACAGAUGCUUACUCCGACCUCAGCGAUGGUGAGAAGGAGGCACGUUUCCUAGCAGGUGUUAUGGAACAGUUUGCUAUCUCUGAGGCCACACUCAUGGCAUGGUCUUCCAUGGACGGUGAGGACAUGAGUGUCAACUCCACUCAGGAGCCACUGGGCUGCAGCUACAGUGACAACUACCAGGAAUUGAUGGAGAGUCAAGAUGCCCUAGCUCAAGCCCCCAUGGAUGGAUGGCCUCACUCCUAUGUGUCCCAGGGCAUGUACUGUCUGGGGUCAUCGGAUGCCUGGGAAGCAAGUGACCAGUCCCUCAUUGCCUCUCCAGCCACUGGAUCCUAUCUUGGCCCUGCAUUUGAUGACUCACAGCCCAGCUUGCAUGAAACAGGGCCUUCCCAGCCUGCUUCUGGAUUCUCUGCUCAGGAGCCUCCACCUUUGCUGGGAGGAGAUACUGACUGGGCUCCAGGGGUGGGCGGGAUGGAUCUGGCAGGGGGUCCCGCCGAGGAUGAGAAGAGGCCAUUGGCCCCUGAGGAGGAAGAGGAUGCUGGAUGCCGGGACCUGGAAUCACUUUCCCCACGAGAAGACCCAGAGAUGUCCACUGCUCUCAGUCGGAAGGUAUCUGACGUCACAUCCUCAGACUCUGUGUAUGGCCCCAAUUCAUGCCUACCACGAGGAACAGACCUCAGGGACUACUGGACAUGGCUCGAAGGACACAGGGGAAACCACCUAAAGGGCGAGUCUCCAAAGAAGGGGAAGAAUUGGCCCUAAGCUGACAAUUUGGCUUCUGAGAUCAGGAGCCAAGGACGAGGUGGACAUGGCAGUUGGGAUUUACAGAGGGCAAUAACAUGAUUCUUCAUAUUAAGACUGGACAAAGACAAGAAAGCCACUGAGGAAAUCAAGAACAAAUAUGGGUACUUGUUCUGGGAUCUUGAAUAUCCCUUGACUGCAAAGAGGAUCCUAAGGAUCUGGGGAAGGACCUCGCCAGGGCUGGCUGCUCCAACUCUUGCUUCCCUUUACUGCCUUCUUCCAAGCAUGCUCUGGGAGCCCCUGCCCGGAGAGGAUAAGGGGACAUCAGUCUCAGAUAUUCUGACACAGAAUGCGGGUGUCCUGGCCAUGGGGGUCACUAGCUCAGAAGUCAUCUCUUUCCUUCCCACUGACCUUUUGAAUCAACCAGUGGUAAAGUCUUGACUGUGAUGGUCUGGAGCAGGGUUUGCAAUUCCGCGUAUGUGCAAGACGCUGAAACAAACUUCACAUCACGAACCAUGAUGUCCUCAACAAAGAUUGUAAAUUUGCUACAAAGGGAGAAAACAUGGUGAGUUAGCCCCACCAUAUGCCUAUCCCUCCAUUACUCCCAUGAGGUUUGUCAUGUAUUGAUAUAUUGAUCACUCAUAAUAUUUAUCAAGUACAAGAAAGUACAAAAACAACUUAAACAAUAACAACAACAACAAAACCUGCUUCCAAACAUUGACCCUAACCCCAAUCUCAACCUCAGAGCCUUCUAACCCCACCCCAUCAAAUCUGAAGUAAUCCAGCUAAUGGCCCUGACCUGAGCUGGUUCCAACCAAGGUCAGGCAAGUAGGGUAGCUUCUUGACCUGGAUGAUGCUGUCAUAGAGGGAGGGCUGCAGGCUCUGAGCCACCAUGUUGGCCAAGAUAACAGCCACCAUCAUGGGUAGGAUGUGAGCAAUCUGACCCGUUAAUUCGAAGCAAAUCACAGCUGUGGAGACUGUGUGGGACACUGCACCAGUCAGUGCUGCUGCUCCUAGAAUGAGACACAGCAAUACACCAGGUGGAUUAGCUGCCACUGUUGGCAUGGAAGGCACACACGGAGAUGUGACAGGAAUAACAUAAGAGUGGGGAUGUAUAACCUUGGUUGGUGCCAACACAUCUGAGGUAACGAUUUGUCAAGAGUAGGGUCUAGAAUGCUGAACUCUUCAGAAAAAAUAGUUUUGAUCUCAUUCUGUGACCUCUGAAUGUGUGUCCCAAAAUCCUCACUUAUAAAAUGAAGAUAGUGAUGUCCCAACCACUCCUCAUUUUUGAAAGUUUGGAUCAUUCUUAACUGAGCAUUUUAAAACCCAGUUUGGCAUUUUACCUUGAGCCUCAAAUUUUAAUGUUAACAAUUAAUUACUGAAUAUUGUGAGGAGCCAAGAAUCAUUGCUGUGGAUCUGGAGUAAUGAAACCUGUAUUAAAUCCUGAUUCUACUGUUUUUCAACUGUAUGACUAGAGCUAAAUUCCUCUGGAAUCCUAUGCUCCACCUAUAAGAUGAAAGGGAUCAAUUAAAUGAUUUCUAAGGCACUGUAGGUCUAAAAUUUUAUGAUUCUAUAAACUCUUUGAUCAUAUAAUCUCACUUAUAUUUGCUUACGCUUUCUCAUCAACCAAUGUCCUUUGUGCAUUAACUACAUUUAAAUAUGAGGGAGUUAUCAUAUGGGAAAAAAAGCUGGGGAAGGCAUGCAUGAAGAUGGAACAAGAAAAAAUCAUGAAAGGGAACUUUUGGGAAGAGUGACACUCCUGGAUGCUGCAUAAAAUACAAUAUACUUUGGGACAAAAACUAUCAUAGGAGACAUACAUAUUGGGAAACGUACACCAGGGAGGAUGGGGAGGGAACCUGAGAGGCAUGAAGAUGAGGAAUAAGAGUAGAUGACAUGAGAGAGGCUUUUAGCAAGGCACCUUGAUGAGGGAGUAGGGUCACCCCAUGAGCUGUAAAGCUGGCUAGUGCUUUUAUAUCUAGAGGAGACAUGGCUUCAGAUGCUGUGGGACAUUGGUGAAGAGUAGAGGAAGGGAGGUAGCAUAAUAAUUCUGGGGAUUAUAUUGGUCACUGUGCUAGACAUGGUUCUUAGUUUGAUGGGACAACAGAUGAGAUAAAAAAGGAUAAUUAUACACCCAGAGUGUCAGAACUAUAAGAUGUCUCAGAAGUCAUUUUAGAAAAAAGAAACUAAGGCCCAUAAAGGCAACUAACUUGCUCCAUGGUCAUGCCAAGUGACAAGUGGCAGGGCUAUGUCUAAAGUUCGUGUUUCUUAGCUCUUAAUCUGUGCUCUUAAAUUCCUAUCAGUACGAGCACAUCUGCUGGUUGGAAGCAUCUAAGCCUGUCACUGUCAAUGUUGCUUCUGUAAAUCUUAGGGAAGAAAGAAAAAAAAAAAACCUUACCAAAUGUCUGGACAUAAUCCUAGGUGUUCUUAUCCUUAUUAUCUCAUCUAAUCCCCAUAAUUCCUUGUUAUGGGGAUUAAAUGAGGAAACUAAGCCUCAAAGAAGUUCAAUAAAAGCUAAUGAGAGUCAGAGCAUAGGUUUGAUUAUUUGAAUAAAAGUUGAAUUAAACAGCAUUAAAUUAAAGUCAUAGUUACAUAGCCUGGAAUGAAGAUGUCAUGGGAGAGUCUGAGUGUAGAGAGUUAGGGUCCUCAAUGUUUGGUUAUAUUAGGGUUGGAAUGUGUCUCACCGAUUACUGCAUAGCCCCCAGGUAGGAUCUUGUAGAUGAUGCCAUCAAACAAGAUGCCAUCAGGGAACAGCAUGGCCAUGAUUUCUCCUACCAGCCUUCCAAAUGCAGCUCCUAGAGGAAAGUUAAAAAGAGGGAAGGUGUUGAGAGAACCAAGUUCCUUAUCCUCUAGAUUUUCAGAUCUAAGCCAACCCCUUCUUGAGCACUAAGACCAAAUACAAACCCCCAGUAUCCCCAGCUUUUCCUUAUUCUCCUGGUACCCUAGAUUUCAGCUAUCUGUAAGAUCCAAGGCUUCCCAUCAGAACUUACCUAGCACAAACACAGGCAUGAAGCCUCCGCAGGGUAUGGGCAUAGUGGUAGCUACGAUGGACAUCCAAAACUAGGGCAAAAAGAGGCAUCAGAAUACCCUCUCACCUUCCCCCAACACACACACAUUCAACUUCCUUCCCACUAUCACCACCCCCCCAACCCCACUUCAUGAGUCACAGAAAUCCUGGAAUAGCUAAUCCUUCUUAAAGCCUUUUUGUCUGUCACCCUUCCUCCAGAAAAAAAAACCAUGAAAUUCUCUAAGAGUGCAUCAAAGAAAACACUAUCAAAAAGUUUUUUCAUAUAGCUAACCCAAAUCCCUCCUAUAUCAAGUGGCUAUAUUUGCCUUUGGGUAGUCUAGAAUAAGAAGUGAAGCCCCAGAGGACACCUGUUUCACUGCCCAGAAAGACUCCUGCCCAUUGUACCCACCUGGCCCAGAAUGAAAAAAGGAAUAAUGGUUGAACUUUUGAAAGAUUUGUAAAAAGAAAAAAAUUAUGAGAUUUAUGUAUAUAAAUUAAGCAGGAGUUUUAUAUAUCAUUGUCAAAAUAAGGAAGCAUAUCUUAGAAAAGAGUCUCAAACUAAUUAGGUGCAAAAUGGUAGCAGCUAAAAAUCAGGAAAAAAUGGUAGGUUCAAAGUAUUUACAAUUUAAAAACUGCAGCAAUUGCAUUGUAAACUAAUGAGAAAUAAAUUUCUUAAUUUUCUGAAACUUGGAAUUCCUCUGAGCCACGACUGACCUCAAGAGCCAGCUACUAAGAUCCUGAGAAGGCUUCAUCCUAGAAGCCCUGAAAUCAGACAAAACAUAUAUGUCUUUGUAUCUGAAUACGACAAUUUAAAGCAGGCUCAGAACUACAAGGUUAAGUGUAUGAAAUGAAAAGACUAUAGACUAAGAAUUCCCUGAGGACAGAGAGCACAUCUUGGUAUCUCUAUGUUUUCUCUGCACCAGCAUAGUGCUCAAUAAAUGUGGGUAGGAAGUGGGUAGGUAGGUAGAUGUGGUCGGUUGAAUUAUGUACCCCAACAAACAUGUCCCUAAUCUUAAUCCUCAUCUCUGUGGGUGUGAAUCCACAAUAAAUGAGACCUUUAGAAAAUGUUGUUUUUAGUUAAGUUGUGACCCACUGAAUCAGAGUGGG